rnacentral:misc_RNA from 1 species
GAUGAAGAACGUAGCGAAAUGCGAUAAGUAAUGCGAAUUGCAGAAUUCAGUGAGUCAUCGAAUCUUUGAACGCACAUUGCGCCCUGUGGUAUUCCGCAGGGCAUGCCUGUUCGAGCGUCAUUUCAACCCUCAAGCCUCGCUUGGUGUUGGGCCCUGCCCGCCGCGGCCGGCCCUAAAGAUAGUGGCGGCGCCGCCUGGCCCUCAGCGUAGUACAGCUCUCGCUCCAGGGUCCGGCGGCAGCCUGCCAGCACCCCCCAACUCUGUGGUUGACCUCGGAUCAGGUAGGGAUACCCGCUGAACUUAAGCAUAUCAAUAAGCGGAGGA